rnacentral:tRNA from 1 species
AGGGGCAUCGUUUAGUGGUAGGACAGGUCUCUCCAAAAGAUCAGACGGGGGUUCGAUUCCCUCUGCCCCUGCCA